rnacentral:rRNA from 1 species
GCCCGCUCACCCGGGACGCGGCGGACGGCUCAGGACGACGGUUGCACCCCCCGCGGCGGUCCCUGCUAGCCGGACACCGCUGGCAACCCGGCGCCAAGACGUGCGCGCAAGGGCGGGCGCCCGCGGGCGAGCAGCGUGACGCAG